rnacentral:rRNA from 1 species
GAUGAACGCUAGCGGCAGGCCUAAUACAUGCAAGUCGAACGGUAAGUGUAGUAGCAAUAUUAUACGAGAGUGACGUACGGGUGCGUAACACGUAUGCAACCUACCCUUUACAGGAGGAUAGCUCGGGGAAACUCGAAUUAACCCUCCAUGAUAUCAUUUGGUAGCAUCAUUGAAUGAUUAAAACUCCGGUGGUAAAGGAUGGGCAUGCGUCUGAUUAGUUAGUUGGUGCGGGUAACGGCCCACCAAGACGAUGAUCAGUAGGGGAACUGAGAGGUUGAUCCCCCACACUGGCACUGAGAUACGGGCCAGACUCCUACGGGAGGCAGCAGUAGGGAAUAUUGGUCAAUGGAUGGAAGGCUGAACCAGCCAUGCCGCGUGCAGGAAGAAGGCCCUCUGGGUUGUAAACUGCUUUUGCCAGGGGAUAAAAAGACCGUGCGCGGUUAAUUGAAGGUACCUGGUGAAUAAGCCACGGCUAACUACGUGCCAGCAGCCGCAGUAACAC